AACAAACGCUGGCGGCGUGCCUAAUACGUGCAAGUCGAACGGGGAAAGUAGCAAUACGAGUACUAGUGGCGCACGGGUGAGGAAUACAUGGGUAAUCUGCCCUCUAGUUUGGGAUAACCAGUCGAAAGAUUGGCUAAUACCGGAUAUGACCACGAGAUCUGAGGAUUUUGAGGUAAAAGUUUUUCGCUAGAGGAUGAGCCCAUGUGGGAUUAGCUAGUUGGUGAGGUAAUGGCUCACCAAGGCGACGAUCCCUAACUGGUCUUAGAGGAUGAUCAGUCACACUGGAACUGAGACACGGUCCAGACUCCUACGGGAGGCAGCAGUAGGGAAUAUUGCACAAUGGGGGAAACCCUGAUGCAGCGACGCCGCGUGAGUGAUGAAGGCCUUCGGGUCGUAAAGCUCUGUCGUAUGGGACUAACAAAAUGAAGGUACCAUGCAAGAAAGGAUCGGCUAACUUCGUGCCAGCCGCCGCAGUAAGA
rnacentral:rRNA from 1 species